GGUACGGUGGCUUAGCGCUUAGCGCGUUUGCCUCGGACCUCCAGGGACGCGGGUUCGAAUCCCACCUCUACCC